GACAGAGGGUGCAAACGUUGUUCGGAAUUACUGGGCGUAAAGCGCGUGUAGGCUGCUCAGAAAGUCGGAUGUGAAAGCCCUGGGCUCAACCUAGGAAGUGCAUUCGAAACUUCUGAGCUGGAGUUCUGGAGAGGAAGGCGGAAUUCUCGGUGUAGAGGUGAAAUUCGUAGAUAUCGGGAGGAACACCAGUGGCGAAGGCGGCGAGCUGGGAAGAUACUGACGCUGAGGUGCGAAAGCGUGGGGAGCAAACAGG
rnacentral:rRNA from 1 species